rnacentral:pre_miRNA from 1 species
AGUCGAAUUGAUGGGUUGUAUGGUAAAUUUGUUCAACUUUUUAAGAAAUUGCCAGACUGUUUUCCAAAGUGGCUGCCCCAUUUUACAUUCCCACCAGCAAU